CUCUUAUCAAGAGCAGGCUGAGGGACUUGGCCCAAUGAAGCCCAGCAACCGACCGUAAUACCAUUGCAAAAUGGGGCGCAAUUGCGCCGGGGUUUUCCCGUAUGGCACGGUGCUAAUUCCAACAGAAAGGAAUCUUUCUGGCAGAUAAGAG
rnacentral:ncRNA from 2 species